AAAUAAGUAGGAAGGUGAGGAUGAUGGUGAGGUUCAGCCCCAACCAAGGGAACUUCUUGCUUUAACAGAGUCUUUCGGUGAGCCCCAGCCUCGUGAAACUUCAGAUCACUUGGUUUUCCCCCAACCGCUAUUGUCCACACAUGACUCCAAAGGUUGAACAGCUUGAGUUGGACUUCUGUCCUUACUCCAAUCUUCAGCAGUUGAAGAAGCCCUACCAGAUAUCAGCUGAUUCUCAGUUGCCUUCCUAUCCCACCCAGACCAACUAUUUGAAUUUGACGUAUUUAUCAUAUUUGUUUUCUCACUAUCUCUACCACCCUUCCCCCAAGAAACACCAGCAUUCCAAAAGAAGAGGAAAAUACUGAUGAGGCAAACACAUGGUCUGGUUGGAGAACAAGGAAAACGGAAGAAUCUGAUCUCCAUGCGAUGAAAGUGCAAAAAAAUCCUGACUUGUCUAGCAGUUGGGAUAAUGCAGUUGCUUUGCAGAAAAAUGUCAGUGGAAGUACUGAGAAAACUUGAAUUGAGACAAAUUCUUGGUCUGGUUGGGGAACGAGGAAAACAGAAGCACAUGAUGACCUUGCAAUGAAACCUCAAGAAGAAACUGGAAAAUUUGAUUGUGACAAAAAACCUGGAUUCAUGUUUCUAAUGUAAAUAAGUAGGAAAGUGAGGAUGAAGGUGAGGGUGAAGGUGCAAUCUAAAUUCAGGAAAGCCGAAGCACUUUGUCAGGGUCAUAGAGUUUUAGGGACUAAAACUAUAAUUUUCCAACAGUGUAAUUCUCAAGAAGCAAUAUUGUGAUAAAUUAGUAGUAAUUAGUAGGAAAAUAAGGGCCGAGACAAUUUGUUGUAAUUCCUUUCCAUGUAUUUAUUUUGGGGGGGGUGUCAUGUGAGACAUGUUGAUGUCUCCUCCUGUCACAAGCCUAAUUGUUUCUAAGGCUCUUUAGGGGGGAGCGACUAGUUGGCCACCAGCUGGGGCUGGGCCCAGUUGGCUACCGUAGGCCUACGGAAAUCCUGAGGUGUACCUUCACUCCUUGUAGACCGUCCCCCCUGUCUACAAGGAAGGUGAGAAUUAUUGUAACGAUCACGUUGAUGAUAAUGUGUAAUUACUAUUUUGCCCCUGGAAUAAAAUAAGUAGUCUGUUCAUGAAUUCUCAUAUUCAAUUCUUUUCUUUUAUGCCUACUGUGAGGCUUCUAAUGGAAUGUCGCCUAUUGGCUUCGCCAUUCACUUAUAUAACCUUGACUAAUCAGGGUGAUCAUGUUCACAGGGUAUCGGGUGAUUCUUAAGGCUGACUUGGCUUGAAGGUGUUCAAGUCAAGUGCCGCACGGUUCCAAGGGAUUGCUAAAAUCUGAGACCGUGACAAUUGGUAUCAGAGCAAGAAAGAUCUGCGAGCAAUAUAAAGCAAUGACAAAAUUUAGCACACACACGAAGGCCCUUGAGAGAAGGGUGAGAACGGUGCUACCUGGUUGGAUGUCUAUGCCACCUAAGAGGGGAAGGCAUUGGAGAUUGAUUCUGGCUAGACUGGCCAUUUUAACUAGAGGUGCUGCACGCUCCACUGGGGACACCAUUGGGAGAGAGGUAAUGACCUAGUACUGCACACUCCAUUGGAAAUGUCUUUUGGAGAAAGGGUAAUGACUAGGUGCUACAUACUCCCUUUUGUGACCCUUGGAGAGAGAGUAAUGACCUCAGGGUAUAGUGAUAAGGGGGAGGAUGAGCCAAUAGAGCUUGAGGCCAUCUGAGAAUCCCGAAACCAUUCCACUCAAAAUUGAGGCAAGAGGCCUCCUGAGACGGAAUUGAGGCAAGAGGCCUCCCGAGAUAGAAUUGAGGCAAGAGGCCUCCUGAGACAAAAUUGAGGCAGUGACCUCUCACGUAUUUUCUUUUGCUUGCAGGAAUGGUGCAAGAAUAUUAAAUAUGAUAUAGGAGAGACUAUGAGCAAUAUUGUAGAAGUGAAUUGGAGGAACACUCAUCAAUGGCAUGAAUUACGAGCUAUUGCCUAUGAAGUAGGCCGGGAUGGAAUCCCAGAAUCUCAAUCCUUAUCGUGGGAUGGAGGUAAAUAAUUUUCUUUUCAAUAUGAGCUUAUUUGUUAAUAUUAUUGGGAAUUGUGACUGUGUAGACAUAUUAAGAACAACAUUUAUAUGAUCAAACUAUAAAGCUAAUUUUAUUCAAGGAUUGAAAGUGUUAAGUCCCAUGGUUAGGGAGUGUUCACACCAAACCUGAGAAAAGGGGAUAUGAAAUGAUAAGCUUCAAUCUUAUUGCAAGAAUGUCACAUUUGUUAUUCAAGAGAGUUGAUAAACUCCAACAAGGUGAUCAUAAGGAAAGUACAUAAAGGAACUUUUCAGGAUUUGUGGUUGACACAAAAGAAGGUGGCACUUGAUUUUUAAUAAAGUAAGCAGAUUGUGACAACAAAUUCAAGAGACAUGACUGAGCUUAAUACCUUCCUAAAGAAGGUCGAAACCUGGAAGAAUACGGUGUAGAGAAAAGGGUGACUAAGAUUGAGUUGGUUCUAUUACCAACGAGUUAAAGAGAUGUUCAACUCUGAUAUCUGAUUGAUAGCUGCCUAAGAAGGUGGGCCAAAGCAAUAAGUGGGGGAGCAGUCUUAAAUGUGGUAAACAAGAUGACUUGGAAGUGGCAUAACUAAGUAGUAUGAAGUAUUCUCUAUGAGGAAAGCCAUAUUAUUUUACAAAUUGUUUGUGUGAAAAUGCUUCAAAGGUCUGGAAGGACCAGGUGAGUAAGGGAGGAGGGAACAUAAGGUAUAAAUCAUAGAGUUGUCAACUCUAGGUUGGUUGUACUUUCUUGUUCCUCCCUGCCUAAGGUAGUAUUGUUCGCGUGAAGGGAUCAAGCGUGAUGGAAAUAUUCUAUGAGUGUUGUGUCAAAUAAGGGACAUAGGAUGGAUGGGGAGAUCUUUAAAGCCUUCUUGAGGACUCUAAGAGAAGAAAUGAGAAUCGAAGCUAGUAUAAAACAAUACAGCGUUGCCUAGUGUCGAGUAUAUCAGAGUUGAUGCUACAAAGCAGGCACGGAUACAAGAUUCGUGGACUGUUUACACAAUUGUUAGAAUCGGGACUACAAUUGAAGUGGCUGAUAUGAGGAAAUGGGGAUAAAGCAGACAGCUUAAGUGUAGGGAUUAAUGUGAGCAUGUCCUUUGACAAACUCGCUUAAUCAAGGACAUCGAGAAGCAAGAUGGACUUCACAGUUUCUCCUUGUAGUGAACCCGAGACAUUAAUAGAUGUGGCGUCUCCCAGAACGACACAAGUUAUUUCUGUUUCGACCAAUAAUUGUUCCUUGAUAAAGGAGAGGUAAUCGAGAGUAGUGAAGAAGAAACUAGUGGCUUUCCAGCACGAGGGGAACUCAAUAAAAAGUAGCAUUCGAUGAAGUGGUGUCUAUUUGUGUGUAAGUGGAAUAAAUAAAUAAAUGCGGUAAUUAUGAGAAAUGAGUAUGGUGGUCAUCAAUUGUUAUAAUAUUCUUUUAUAAAUUACUUGAUCCUAGUGCGUAACUAGUGAGCAAGCCAUUGCUCCUAUAACUCUUCCUAUGGUGUGCAGCAUUGUUAGUGCAGAAGGAAAAGUCUUAAGAGAUCCAUAUGAAACACUGGCAUGGAUGAGACGAUGAUAGAUCAAAGGUGGUAGUUUCCUCACCCCUCAAAACAUAUCCUUUACAAGAAUAAAGGAAAUGAGCAUCAAAAUAGGAAAGGAGGUACCCUAAGAAGAAAAGAAAAAAAAAUGGGAGAAAGAAACCAAGACUAGCAAUGAUGAAAAUGAGUCAAAAGGGUGGAAUGGAUAGGAGUCUAGAGGGGAUAAAAAGAAAAUAACAAUUACCCUCAUAAUGUAUGAUAAUUGCCAACCAACUAUGAUUGUCGAGCACAUGUUCAUUCUCUCUCUGAGGUAAGCAAACAUUUUGAUAGGACAACCAAGAGGAAUGUAAGGUAACAUUGGGCGAGGGUUGUAUCAAAUGCCAUUGAGAACAACAGCAUUGUGAAAGCAAAUAAUUCACUCAUCCUACGACAAAAAGAAGAAGGAGAAUCAUUGAAAACUGGCAAAAAUGAGGACCUUUGGACUAGUCAAAGGAGUGUGGGGCUUAAGGUAAUGAGGAGAGGAAAAGAUCCUUAAUGAAAAUUCAGUACGAGAGAAGGGAAUUUAACGAGGGGGAACCCUCUCACAUCAGAUGAGUAUAAUAGUUUUGUGUUUCAUGACAUCAUUCUUUAUCUUACUUUAUUUUAGUUAUUUAUUUAUUCUGAGAUAUUUUGUGUAUGAUUGAGUCAGGUUCCUCGUGAUGUGGGACUUGACAAGUUGGUGCUAACAGAUGUUGUGAACAUAUAGGGUAUACCUUCCUUAGAAGCGAUUGGAAGAGUAAUGUGUAUUAUUAAAAGGACAAGUUAGUCCAACCUUUGUCAUUGGGGAGGAAAGAGAUCUCACAGCAAAACAAAAGUUCUCACAAGUGGAUCAACAUGAAGGAGGACUGAGAUAGAUCGAGAAGUACAGAUUGCAGGAGGCAAGUCGAUAUUGUGAGUGGUGAUGAAGGCGGUAUAAAAAGGGAGUAUCUUCCAAUAAUUUCUUAGUGUUGAGUUGUAAUGACGGUAUUAAUUAUUUUAUGUAUAGUUAAUCUUAAGAGUUGUCUUGAGUAGAUUUUUGUGGCCCAAAGGGUUCAACAAGAAAAUGACACUUUUAGUAAUCAUGGAUAUUUGGUGUGUAUCGUGUGUCUUUUUGUAGGCAUUUGGGUAAACUACAUUUAUAGGUAGAGGAAAAAGAGAUGAAGGGGUGCAGAAUACCAGAGCUUAUGAAGGGGAGGACCAUAGGACGUACAAAAGAGGAAGAGAGAGCUGAGUGGACUCUUUCGGAAAUGGGGACACCAAUUUCAUAGUAGGAUUCGACGAGCUUCGCUACAAGGGGAAUAAGGUUGUGGUAUGUCAAGGAGAGGGGUAAAGACAGUUCAAGUGUUGUGGACACAACUAUUGAUUCAUAGUGUAUUGUAUUCUACAGGGCUUGCUAUAUUAAUUGUAUUUGAGUCUAACGUGGUUAGUACUGACCUUUCUUAUGAGACUAUUACAGGUUAGUCACAAUAUCAUGUGGCAUGAGUGAAUGCAGGUUGAUAGGUUUAUUGUACGAUAAGGGUUGUGCUUUUAAGGCAAAGAGUAAGGACAACAGUGAAAGGCAAAUACUGGCGAGACAGACUAGGGAAUAAAGAACUCGUACUCAACAGGUUCAGGCAAUAAGUUCGUGCAGAGGAGUAAUGCGACAACUUCUCGCGACAUUUGCAGGAGACUAAGGAAUCAAGGGCAUAACACUUAAACCGAAAAUAGAGCUUUUGUAGUUUCAGCAUCAGUAAGAGCUAGCAAGUUCACAGAGAAAAAUUAGAAGGAGAUACCAGAAACUGAGUGACUUCAUACCAAUGAUCAAAAUUGCUCAACAAAUUUAAUCAAGCAAGACUGGGAUCACAUCACAGUGUGAGCAAGCCUAAAGUGUCGAACUCAAAGAUUGAAGAAUCCCAACAACCUCAGUCAACGAGGACUCAAAGAUUGAAGAAUACCAACAAGCUCAGUCGACUAGGACGUCGACCGUUUAAGUGGGGGAGUGUCAGGGUCAUAGAGUUUUAGGGACUAAAACUGUAAUUUUCCAACAGUGUAAUUCUCAAGAAGCAAUAUUGGGAUAAAUUAGUAGUAAUUAGUAGGAAGAUAAGGGCCGAGACAAUUUGUUGUAAUUCCUUUCCAUGUAUUUAUUUUGGGGGGUGUCAUGUGAGACAUGUUGAUGUCUCCUCCUGUCACAAGCCUAAUUGUUUCUAAGGCUCUUUAGGGGGGAGCGACUAGUUGGCCACCAGCUGGGGCUGGGCCCAGUUGGCUACCGUAGGCCUACGAAAAUCCUGAGGUGCACCUUCACUCCUUGUAGACCGUCCCCCCUGUCUACAAGGGAGGUGAGAAUUAUUGUAACGAUCACGUUGAUGAUAAUGUGUAAUUACUAUUUUGCCCCUGGAAUAAAAUAAGUAGCCUGUUCAUGAAUUCUCAUAUUCAAUUCUUUUCUUUUAUGCCUACUGUGAGGCUUCUAAUGGAAUGCCGCCUAUUGGCUUCGCUAUUCACUUAUAUAACCUUGACUAAUCAGGGUGAUCAUGUUCACAGGGUAUCGGGUGAUUCUUAAGGCUGACUUGGCUUGAAGGUGUUCAAGUCAAGUGCCGCACGGUUCCAAGGUAUUGCUAAAAUCUGAGACCGUGACACACAUGAUGACCUUGCAGUUGGGGCUGAACCUCACCUUCAUCCUCACCUUCCUACUUAUUUAAAUACGAAACCUGAAGCCAGGUUUCGGUCACAAUCAAAUUUUCCAGUUUCUUCUUGAGGUUUCAUUGCAAGGUCAUCAUGUGCUUCGGUUUUCCUCGUUCCCCAACCAGACCAAGAGUUUUUCUCAAUUCCAGUUUUCUCAGUACUUCCACUGACAUUUUUCUGCCAAGCAGCUGCAUUAUCCCAACUGCUAGACAGGUCAGGAUUUUUUUGCACUUUCAUCGCAGGGAGAUCAGAUUCUUCCGUUUUCGUUGUUCUCCAACCAGACCAUGCGUUUGCCUCAUCAGUAUUUUCCUUUUAUUUUGUCUGCCAUGUAGCUGCAGUAUCCCAACCACUUGACUUGUCAGAUUGCUCUUGGGCUUUUGUGGAGAGUGCAUUUGGUGUUUCAGCUGUAUCUGUUCCCCAACUAGACCAGGGCUUUUCUUGAAAUUCAGCAGUGUUUUCAAAGAUGGGCUUCUCAGAACCAAAUGUGUGCUCUAGGGACAGGUUCCGGUCAAUUUCAUCUUCCAUAAGCUCAUCAAUUUCUGCAUCUAAACUAGUAGUGACUGAUUCCUACCAGAUAUCAGCUGAUUCUCAGUUUUCUUCCUAUCCCACCCAGACCAACUAUUUGAAUUUGAUGUAUUUAUCAUAUUUGUUUUCUCACUAUCUCUACCACCCUACCCCCAGGAAAAACCAGCGUUCCAACAACUAGAACCUGCACAUUCUUGGUCUGUAGAGAUGGUAUCCUCCAUUCUAGCAUUCUCUUCACCCCAACCAGACAAAGUUUAAUCCUAGUAUGAAGGUGGAAUCUAAAUUCAGGUUACAGUAACAAAUAUUAAAAGAUUGAAAAAAUAAGAAGGGGAGUGUGUGAUAGUUGAACCCAUGACAAACAAUAUGCGAAUUGUAGGGAAAAUUUGCCAUUACACUAAUGGAUUUUCUUGGAAAAAUUGCAAUAGAAAAAUAGAUUCUGCGGAAAUGUAUGGAAAAUUUGAUUGUGAAGGAAACCUGGAUUCAUGUUUCGUUAGUAAAUAAGUAGGAAGGUGAGGAUGAAGGUGAGGUUCAGCCCCAACCAAGGGAACUUCUUGCUUUAACAGAGUCUUUCAGUGAGCCCCAGCCUCGUGAAACUUCAGAUCACUUGGUUUUCCCCCAACCGCUAUUGUCCACACAUGACUCCAAAGGUUGAACAGCUUGAGUUGGACUUCUGUCCUUACUCCAAUCUUCAGCAGUUGAAGAAGCCCUACCAGAUAUCAGCUGAUUCUCAGUUGCCUUCCUAUCCCACCCAGACCAACUAUUUGAAUUUGACGUAAUUAUCAUAUUUGUUUUCUCACUAUCUCUACCACCCU
rnacentral:lncRNA from 1 species